rnacentral:rRNA from 1 species
GACGUAGGUGGCGAACGUUAUCCGGAAUUAUUGGGCGUAAAGGGUGCGUAGGCGGCAUGAUAAGUUAUUGGUGGGAAAUCGAGGCUCAACCUCGUGGAAACUAAUAAUACUGUUUUGCUUGAGUACAGGAGAGGUUAACGGAACUCCAUGUGGAGCGGUAAAAUGUGUAGAUAUAUGGAAGAACAUCAAUAACGGCGAAGGCAGUUAACUAUUCUGUUACUGACGUUGAGGCACGAAAGCGUGGGGAGCAAAACGG